GGGGGUGUAACUCAGUGGUAGAGUGCCUGCUUUGCAUUGUCUGUUCUGAACAGUAUCCAUCUAUGAUUGCAUGAAGCCCGGGGUUCGAUCCCCCGCUCCUCCA
rfam:Glarea lozoyensis 74030 unplaced genomic scaffold M7I_scaffold32, whole genome shotgun sequence.